UGUAUUGGAGUAUGGUUUGUACGCGGAAUUUUGAAUUCCGAGGAGUGGUGAAAAGCCGUCAAUGUAG
rnacentral:tRNA from 1 species